AUUGAACGCUGGCGGCAGGCCUAACACAUGCAAGUCGAGCGAAGCGGCGGAUGGGUGAGUAACGCGUGGGUAACCUGCCCUUAAGUCUGGGAUACCAUUUGCAAACAGAUGCUAAUACCGGAUACUAAAGGAUGGACCUGGGAUGCAUUAGCUAGUUGGUAAGGUAACGGCUUAACAAGGCGAUGAUGCCAAGCCGAGUUGGGAGAAUGCUCGGCCACAUUGGGACUGAGACACGGCCCAAACUCCUACGGGAGGCAGCAGUAGAGAAUCUUCCACAAUGGACGAAAGUCUGAUGGAGCAACGCCGCGUGAGUGAAGAAGGUUUUCGGAUCGUAAAGCUCUGUUGUUGGUGAAGCGGUAAUCAACCAGAAAGUCACGGCUAACUACGUGCCAGCAGCCGCGGUAAUAC
rnacentral:rRNA from 1 species